GGAGGGGCUCCCUGCCCAGCCUCUGCCCUCCACGGGAGCCAGACGGUGACAUUCCUGGGCCUGGGCUGAGCAGGGGUCAGAGCUGCCUGCCCCUCCCUGGAGAACCAGACAUAGCCCAGGGCCGCUGGCCGUCCACAGCCCCCUCCCACCCCCCCGUGGGAGUUGCCUUCAGCCCAUCUCAGCGGAGAGGACACUGGAGCUCAGGCCCAGGAGCCCGCAGGCAGGAGGGAGGCCACGAGCCCACCAGGCCUGCCAGCCCACGGGAGACCCCAGCCCAAGGGAGACCCCAGCCCGGCUGCCUGGGAGACACACCCUGCUUCUGAGCUGACCUUGGGCACCAGCCUCCGAGAGGCCUCCCAGGGCCCCAGAAUGUCCAGGCUGUCUGGACGCCUACACACACAGCACAGCCUCUCCUCCUCACACCUGGCCUCCCGCCCGGUCCUCCUUGCUGCCCUGUGCACAGGCUCCAGGGGGAACCGCAGGCCAGGCAACACGGAGAGCAGCAGCCCUCCCGGGCCGCAGAGGCAGCCUGGCUCCAGGCCCUGGUUCUGUAAUGGCCUUGCUGUGUGACCUGGGCAGUGACCUGACCUUCUGAGCCCAUCUCCUCACUUCAUGACGCAGGCAUCAGAGCCCAGGUGUGCAAGGCAACAGCCGGAGGGCCUCCUGGGGCAGGAACACAGCUGGUGCUGGACACAGGGCCCUGCUGGUCGGACGCCACCUCCCACCUCCGUGCACACCAGGGAGGACCCCAGGGUCCCCUCCCCUUCCCGAGACCCCCAGUGUGGAUCAAGUUCCGACUCCACUUCUGCUGGGCCUCGGGUGACAGGGACAAGAGGAAAGGACCCAGUCCUCAAACAACGGUGGCGUGGAGCUCGGGGUCCCAGGCACAGCCGCCUGCCCGGGCUCCUCCGUCAAACCCACCUGCAUCUGCUUAACCCGUGCUCAUCGGGGCAUCCCUGUCACCGCUGCGGAGCACGGAUCCUGACAGACACUCAGGUCUCCAAGUGGCAGAUGCAGAUGGGCUGUCUUCUAGAAGCUUCUAAAUUUCUGUUGCAAAAAGAGAAGUCCAGCAGCCUGUCCCCAGGAUGCCUCCAGGGGCAGCAGCUCGAAGGACGAGGGAUGAUGCCCCCAAAGCAGAUGACUGAGAGGCAGGGCACCUGGUGGGCGGUCAAGGCCAUGACCAGGGCAGCACUUCGUGUGAGGUCCUCCAGGGCAUGUGAGGACGCCAAG
rnacentral:lncRNA from 1 species